rnacentral:rRNA from 1 species
ACUCAAAUGAAUUGACGGGGACUCGCACAAGCAGUGGAUCAUGUGGUUUAAUUCGACGAUAAACGAAGAACCUCACCAAGACUUGAAAUUCAGUUGAAAGCCUUUAGAAACAUUGGCCCUCUCACAAGGACAACUGGACAGGUGAUGCAUGGCUGUCGUCAGUUCGUGGUUUGAAUUGUUCCCUUAAGUGGGGUAACGAACGCAACCCUCGUCGCGUGUUAUAAGUGUCACGCGAGACAGUCCCGUUUUUCGGGAAGGAAGCGAGGAUGACGCCAAGUCAGCAUGUCCCUUUGACGUCUUGGGCUACACACAUGAUACAAUGGCCACUACAGAAGGUUGCGACGGCGUAAGCCUGAGCUAAUCCCUAAAAGUGGCCCCAGUUCGGAUUGGGGUCUGCAACUCGACCCCAUGAAGCCGGAAUUGCUAGUAAUCGCAGGUCAGCUAUACUGCGGUGAAUACGUUCUCGAGUCUUGUACACACCGCCCGU